GAACGUCUUCCGCACGUAUGACCGGGACAACUCCGGGAUGAUCGAUAAGAACGAGCUGAAGCAGGCCCUCUCAGGUUUCGGCUACCGGCUCUCUGACCAGUUCCACGACAUCCUCAUUCGAAAGUUUGACAGGCAGGGGCGGGGGCAGAUCGCCUUCGACGACUUCAUCCAGGGCUGCAUCGUCCUGCAGACCCUUGCUCUAUCACCCAGGCCAGAGUGUGGUCGUGCGAACAGGGCUCACUGCAGCCUGGACCCUCAGGCUCAAGCGAUCCUCACGCCUUGGACCCCCAAAGUGCUGGGAUCACAGGCGAGAGUCACCAUGCUGGCCUGAAUCUUCAGGAGGUUGACGGAUAUAUUCAGACGUUACGACACGGAUCAGGACGGCUGGAUUCAGGUGUCGUACGAACAGUACCUGUCCAUGGUCUUCAGUAUCGUAUGACCCUGGCCUCUCGUGAAGAGCAGCACAACAUGGAAAGAGCCAAAAUGUCACAGUUCCUAUCUGUGAGGGAAUGGAGCACAGGUGCAGUUAGAUGCUGUUCUUCCUUUAGAUUUUGUCACGUGGGGACCCAGCUGUACAUAUGUGGAUAAGCUGAUUAAUGGUUUUGCAACUGUAAUAGUAGCUGUAUCGUUCUAAUGCAGACAUUGGAUUUGGUGACUGUCUCAUUGUGCCAUGAGGUAAAUGUAAUGUUUCAGGCAUUCUGCUUGCAAAAAAAUCUAUCAUGUGCUUUUCUAGAUGUCUCUGGUUCUAUAGUGCAAAUGCUUUUAUUAGCCAAUAGGAAUUUUAAAAUAACAUGGAACUUACACAAAAGGCUUUUCAUGUGCCUUACUUUUUUAAAAAGGAGUUUAUUGUAUUCAUUGGAAUAUGUGACGUAAGCAAU
rnacentral:sRNA from 1 species